GACGGAGGAUGCAAGCGUUAUCCGGAAUUACUGGGCGUAAAGCGUGCGUAGGCGGUUCGUUAAGUUCGUUGUGAAAGCCCCGGGCUCAACCUGGGAAUGGCAAUGGAAACUGGCGGGCUGGAGUAUGGCAGAGGGGGGUGGAAUUCCGCGUGUAGCAGUGAAAUGCGUAGAGAUGCGGAGGAACACCGAUGGCGAAGGCAGCCCCCUGGGCCAAUACUGACGCUCAGGCACGAAAGCGUGGGGAGCAAACAGG
rnacentral:rRNA from 1 species